AGCUAUAGUUUUUUGGUCAAGAUUUUGUUUGUUUAUUCCUUCCAGAGUCUUGAUAAGUUUAUCAAAGUACAAGAACAAGUGAGGUUGUGUAUAAACUCUUUAAUUUAUAGUGAUUUCAUUCAUGAAAUUAGAAGAGAAUUCCAAUAAAAAACCAAUAAUGGGCGUUUGACCUCUCAACAAACAUCUGCUUUGAUCUAGAAUCGCUGUUUGUCAAAGUAUACAGUAAACUAAUCGUGUUUGUUUUGGUGAUGAUUGAAGGUUUUGGAGGCUCAUUUGUAAGUUCUCUUUCCUUCAUUCUUCCAGAUUUGAUAAUUGGUGUCAUUAAACAUUGGUAAACUCAAAAACCAAUAAUGAAGAGAGUAAUAUAGGCUUUAAAAACAAAGAAUUUCAUUAUCAUUUUUUGACAAAAUCUUGUUGGGAGAGAGCAUACAUAAUCUAUCUCUUCACUCCAUUCAUGUCAGUUGUCAAAAGGUCGUAUCUACAGUUACAAGUUCUUAUAAUAUUCUAUAAUGGAAUUAAAUAAUUCAGUUAACAAAACUUAUAUAUUAAUCUUUCAGCAGCCAUGCAGCUGAGAAGUGAGAUGAAGAAAGGCAUCUUCGUCGCAUGGAAUUGUAAGACCACCCAUGGGAUGAUUAAACCCGAACUGUUCCUCAGCCAGGUUGAGCA
rnacentral:lncRNA from 1 species